rnacentral:rRNA from 1 species
AUAAAGUGGCGAACGGCUGAGUAACACGUGGGCAACCUGCCCUUUGCACUGGGAUAGCCUCGGGAAACCGAGGUUAAUACCGGAUACUCCAUAUUUGUCGCAUGGUGAAUAUGGGAAAGCUCCGGCGGCAAAGGAUGGGCCCGCGGCCUGUUAGCUAGUUGGUGGGGUAGUGGCCUACCAAGGCAAUGAUGGGUAGCCGGGUUGAGAGACCGACCGGCCAGAUUGGGACUGAGACACGGCCCAGACUCCUACGGGAGGCAGCAGGU